AUGGACGAGAAGGUGUUCACCAAGAAGCUGGACCGUGGAUCGAGCCGCUGAAUGAGUGCAAGCAGCUGUCCGAGUCCCAGGUCAAGAGCCUGUGCGAGAAGGCUAAAGAAAUCCUGAUGAAAGAACCCAACGUGCAGGAGGUUCCAUGUCCAGUCACUGAUCUCAUGGGACUGUUUAGAACUGGUGGCAAAUCACCAGAGACAAAUUAUUUGUUAUGGGAGAUUAUGUUGACAGAGGAUAUUAUUCCUUGAAACAGUUACACUGCUUGUAACUCUCAAGGUUCUUAUACUGAAGGCCUCACCAUUCUUCCAGGGAAUCAUGAGAGCAGACAGAUCACACAAAUUUAUGGCUACCACUUCUAGGGAGUGUGGAAAUACUUUACAGAUCUUUUUGAUUAUCUUCCUCUCACUGCCUUGGUGGAUGGACAGAUGGUCUGUCUACAGGGUGGCCUCUUGCCAUCCAUAGAUACACUGAAUCAUAUUAGAGCCCUUGAUUGCCUGGAAGAAGUUCCACAGGAGGAUCCAAUGUGUGUCUUGCUGUGGUCAGAUUCAGAUGACUGUGGUGGUUAGGGUUUAUCUCCUCGAGGAGCUAGUUAUACCUUUGGGCAAGAUAUUUCUGAGACAUGUAAUCAUGCCAAUGGCCUCACAUUGGUGUCUGGAGCUCAUCAGUUGGUGAUGGAGGGAUAUAACUGGUGCCAUGACAGGAAUGUAGUAACAGAUUUUCAGUGCUCCAAACUAUUGUUAUCAUUGUGGUAAUCAAGCUGCAAUCAUGGAACUUGAUGAUACUCUAAAAUACUCUUUCUUACAAUUUGACCCAGCACCCUGUAGAGGCCAGCCACAUGCUACUUGUUGUACCCCAGACUACAUCCUGUAAUGAAAUUUUAAACUUGUACAAUAUUGCCAUAAACCAUAAAUUGACCCAAUGGAAAUGGGAAGAGCAACAGUAACCCCCAAGUGUCAGAAAAUAGUUAACAUUCAAAAAACUUGUUUUCACGUGGACCAAAAGAUGUGCCAUAUAAAAAUACAAAGCCUCUUGUCAUCAAAAGUCAUGACCACUUUAGAAUGAACCAGUUCGUUGCAUGCUGAAGCAACAUUGUUGGUUAAAAAACCAGUUUCUGGCAUAGCGCUAUUCGUAGUUACUUUUGCUUUCUCUGAAAUAAGAUGUAAACAUUAACACCACGUGAAUACAAUUUAACUUCCAUUUAGCUAUAGCUUUAUUCAGCAUGACUGUAGAUAAGGAUAGCAGCAAACAAUCAUUGGAGCUUAAUGAACAUUUUUAAAAAUAAGUACCAAGGCUUCCCCUCUACUUGUGAGUUUUGAAAUUGUUUGUUUAUUUCAGGGAUACCAUUUAAUUUAAUUAUAUGAUUUAUCUGCACUCAGUUUAUUCCCUUCUCAAAUCUCAGCCCCAUGUUGUUCUUUGUUAUUGUCAGACCUGGUGAGUUGUUCUGAACAGAACUGUUUUACCCCCUCCUAUAAGAUGAUAUUACUGCACAAGAGCACUGCAGUGUUUUUCAUAAUAAAUUUGUGAACUA